AUUAACUUCUCUCUUUUGGCAUUUUCCGAGUUGGGAACAAAGAUAAUGGUAUUAUUGUAAUUGUAACUUCAACACAAAAACUCUAUUUCCAUUUUCGAAGAAUCCACCAUAUGCCCUUAACCCUACUCAGCUCCACGUCCUGAAACAAAGAGUAGGGAAGGGCCACUAAAAACAGUGAAUAUGGGUAACCUGAAUAUACAUAAAGAGACUCAAAACCUCUCAGUUUUCGACAUGAUCCUCGGGCCAUUUCUUUCUUCUUCUUUCCUCUGCCAAACUUGGUGGUGGGGUGGCACCGACACCUCCAAGUUUGGCAGAGCUUACAGUGGCGUGUGAUCUCUAUCUAUUAAUAUUAUCUGAGCUCUCUCUCUCCCUCCCUCUUUCUCUCCACUUUUUGUGGCCCAUGCUUAAAGGUAUAUAUAUAUUUUGGCACACAGGGUGAAGCCAGGCAAAGCAAACAAGAAAAUAGAUGAAAGAAACAAGUGCUUAAUUUUGUUCUAGUGCAGCAAACACAUGGUUGAUAAGCUUGAGUACCAGUACUGCAGAUUUUCCAUGAUGAAGAAUAUCACAGAAGAAAAAUUGCAUUCUGUUUGUUGAGAUAUGUUAACUAUGGCAAUUUUUUGAAAUAUAAAAAUAUAUAUUGUCUUUGUAUUGUGCAAGAAUUAUAAUUAGUUUCUUUGAUCUCAAUACAUAAUUCAAGAGCACUAGCUUAUACAGGA